rnacentral:lncRNA from 1 species
AAUUCACAAGAUCGGUAUUGUUUUAACACCGUAAGUCUCCUGCAUAUGGAAAUUGAGUUGAAUUUUUAUUAUGUUUUAGCCGUACAUUCGCAUCCUCUGACAGCUCUUGAGUAGUUUAUUUCAGCAGUCGGCACCAUCUCACACACACUCUACGCAGGGAAGCCGAUGAAUAUAAGUGAGUGUUCCGAAAAAAAAUAAAAAAAAAUAAAGGAAUGCACCUUCUAAGUUUGGUGACCCUCACCCGGUCACUUAACUCAACAGUUGUAGAACCUUCAAAAAAAAAGUUUUUGACUCGUUGUUAGUUGGUUCAGCGGUUUCUGGUGCUGAACUUGGUAGGG